rnacentral:rRNA from 1 species
GAUGAACGCUGGCGGCGUGCCUAAUACAUGCAAGUCGAGCGAACAGACGAGGAGCUUGCUCCUCUGACGUUAGCGGCGGACGGGUGAGUAACACGUGGAUAACCUACCUAUAAGACUGGGAUAACUUCGGGAAACCGGAGCUAAUACCGGAUAAUAUAUUGAACCGCAAGGUUCAAUAGUGAAAGACGGUUUUGCUGUCACUUAUAGAUGUAUCCGCGCCGCAUUAGCUAGUUGGUAAGGUAACGGCUUACCAAGGCAACGAUGCGUAGCCGACCUGAGAGGUUGAUCGGCCACACUGGAACUGAGACACGGUCCAGACUCCUACGGGAGGCAGCAGUAGGGAAUCUUCCGCAAUGGGCGAAAGCCUGACGGAGCAACGCCGCGUGAGUGAUGAAGGUCUUCGGAUCGUAAAACUCUGUUAUUAGGGAAGAACAAAUGUGUAAGUAACUAUGCACGUCUUGACGGUACCUAAUCAGAAAGCCACGGCUAACUACGUG